rnacentral:rRNA from 1 species
GACGAGGGGUCCUAGCGUUGUUCGGAAUUACUGGGCGUAAAGCGCAUGUAGGUGGUUUGACAAGUCAGGUGUGAAAGCCUCGGGCUCAACCCGAGAAGUGCAUUUGAUACUGUCAAACUUGAAUAUGGGAGAGGGUAGUAGAAUUCCUGGUGUAGUGGUGAAAUACGUAGAUAUCAGGAGGAAUACCGGUGGCGAAGGCGGCUACCUGGCCCAAUAUUGACACUGAGAUGCGAAAGCGUGGGGAUCAAACAGG